rnacentral:rRNA from 1 species
AUGAAGUCGCCGGAUAGGUUCGUGCUCGUCGGCGGGGAUAGGAGCACGCUUGAGGAGUGCGCGGUGGAGUGCACCCUCAAUUGUUCAUGUGUGGGAUAUGCUUAUGCCAAUCUGAGCAGCGGCAGUUCCAGGAGAUACGUCGUUUCGAGGUGCUUGGUGUGGGUCGGGGAGUUGAUUGACACGGGAAAGGUAGGCGCAGAAUUCGGCAACGACACACUCUAUCUUCGACUUGCAGGCAUGGAUACAACAGCUGGUAAAAGGACAAAGAGCAAUCCGGUUCCGGUGAGGAUUGUGUUGCCAAUUUUAGGAGGCAGUGUUCUGGUGCUCAUAUGCAUAUUCCUUCUAUGGUUAAAAUUCAAAGAAGAAAUUUUCCUUGCAACCAACAUUUUCUCCGAAACAUGCAUGAUUGGGCAAGGAGGCUUCGGAAAAGUUUACAAGGGAACGUUAGGUGGUCAAGAAGUUGCUGUCAAGAGGCUAAGUAGAGAAUCUCAACAAGGCACGGUAGAAUGCAGGAAUGAAGUAAUUCUAAUUGCAAAAUUGCAACAUAGAAAUUUGGUUCGACUUCUUGGAUGUUGUAGUGAUGGAGACGAAAAGCUUCUUAUAUAUGAGUAUCUGCCUAACAAGAGCUUGGAUGCUACCCUUUUUGACCACUCAAGAAAAUUGUUGUUGGAUUGGCCAACACGAUUUAGUAUAAUCAAAGGGAUUGCAAGGGGACUUUUCUAUCUUCAUGAGGACUCAAGUGGCUACAUGGCCCCUGAGUAUGCAAUGGAAGGUGUCUUCUCUACUAAGUCUGACGUCUACAGCUUCAGCGUGCUACUACUAGAGGUCAUACCUGGUUUAAGGAGAAACUUCUGUACUCAAACCAUGAGUUUUCCUAGCCUUGGUAUAUAUUCAUGGAAUAUGUGGAAGGAAGGAAAUGCAGAAGAACUUGCAGAUUCAUCUAUCAUGGAUACUUGUUCAUCAGAAGAAGUUCUGCUUUGUGUCCAUGUGGGGCUCAUGAAGAGCACAGAGCACAUCAUAAGGUCAGGAACAGCUGCCACAAUCUUGUUCAAACACAUCCACAACUUUUUCUACCCAGAUAGUGAUGCAGUGUAG